rnacentral:lncRNA from 1 species
GACGAUUGAGUGGAGAAACCCAAGGAAUACCUUUGUGUUUAUAGGGCAAGGGAGUGCACAGGGACAUGUCUUCCACCUUCCCAUCUACGGAAUCCUCCUCAUCCUAUCAGGCCCAAUUUGAAAUGCCAUAUUCUCUGAGAAGCCUUCCCCAGUCUCCAAGUGAUGUCUGCAUGCAGUCUGCAUCUAUGGUGGCAGCAGCAGUGGGACAGAAGGAACUUAUGGUUUUUCCUGGAAUAUUCUGCAUCCUGCUGAGUUGUGGAGCCUCCAGUCUGCUGUGGUGUGGCUGUUUCCCUGUAUUAUCUGCUACGAUAAUCCAGGGCCCCUUUGGUCUUGAGUUCUCUAAACCUCCUGGACGUGCACCAGAUCUCUUCCAGUUCAUUAGUUUUCUCAAUGUCCCCCAUCCCAUCACUCACAGGCUGUGGGCAAUUGGAAGUGCUAGCUCAAAGCAAUCUACAUAGACGUCUCUCCUGUUGAUGCUGUUACACUUAAUAUUUCCAGUAUAUCAUAAUUACUCUUUUUAUAUUAGGACAUGGCCGUGAAAGUAGACCGGCACCCAGUACAUUCAAGAGUCUUUCAAUAUAUCUAGGGUUCCUGUUGUUUGACCUUCUCAGAGAUGAGGCAUCUUCUCCCUAGUUUCAUCUACUCAAAAUAUAUCCC